rnacentral:rRNA from 1 species
AUGGGACGCACCGCCUUGGUCAAGUCGGUGCUUGCCUCCCAAGCCAUAUACUUCAUCACUACGCUCGUCGUCCCCACAAGCACCCUCAAAAAUCUCAACAAGCUUGAGCGAGCGUUCCUUUGGGAGGGAACAGACAAGACCACCGGGGCCAAAUGCAAGGUUAAUUGGGACACCGUUUUCCGCCCAAUUGCUAAUGGGGGUCUUGGAGUGCUAAACACGGAGAAAUUUGCUAGGGCACUGAGGAUUCGUUGGAUUUGGUUUGAGUGGAAGGAGCCAACUAAGAUGUGGGUUGGCAUGGGCAACCCGUGCGAUAACGCAGACUACAACUUCUUCUAUGCCUCCUCAACUAUUAUUGUGGGAAAUGGCGCGCGCACCCCCUUUUGGGACUCUCCGUGG